AAUUGGUAGUAGGCUUUCGAGCCUAUACAGCUUGGAGUAAGACAACAUGCAUGAAGAGGAUGAUGUGGACAAAAUACUCAUUUGCCUAAUAAUGCUGCACUCCCUGUAGCAGGAGGAGACACCUGCAAGACACAAGACAAAUUAUUUAGCACUUGUUGUUGUACUCAUCAAAUAGUGACCCAAUUGUACUAUAAAGCACCAAAUUUUACCAAAUGUAAAUUUUAUUGGUGAACAAUUGGUUUAAAAAAAAAAGUAACACCGAGGGGAAUGUCAUAAUAAUUUCUUGCAAUUAUUCUCAUCACAUGUGCACAACUGGCUGAUUUAAAGUUUCACGUUUAAUUGCCUGUUGUUGUUGUUGUUGUUGUUUUUUUACUUUAAACUAAAACCAAAAGAAAUGAAAACUUUUGUUCCCAAUCAUGUGUUACUGAAAAAUGUGUGGCCGGUUGGUUGUCACAUUGCUUGUUACUGGCACAUUAGUGAGAACUGUAGAGUUGUGUUAAUAUCACACAUUUGACCUGACAAACUUGUUCUUUUGUUUUUUAUUGGUGAAUGUGAACAUAAAACUUUGAGAGGAAGAAGUUUUAUGUAAUUGUCAUGGGUCAGAGUAAUUUUUCAUAUGGCUUUCCUUAUUAUAUUACAUGAGACAUUAAAUUUCAAAGGGACUACCUACAUAAAUAAAUCUGAAAUAAAUGAAAUAAAUGAUAGAUCACAAAACAUUAGCCAUUAUAUAAAUAUGGACACUUAUUAAAAAGGUGAAGUCAGUUUUUCACUAGCAAACUAAAGCUAGUGGUAGCUAGGUUUAUAAAGAGGUGUGUAACAACCAACCCUGCUAUGGGGUUGAUUGUUACACAGUGACAGAGUGCUAAUUACUUUUUUUUGGUUAGGGUUAGAGACCCAUUUUGAACCAGCAUCUUAAGCUUUGAUUUAAUAAAAGAAUGAUUAUUGAACAAUGUUUCAAUGAUCAACAAUUCAUGCAAGAUUGAAAAGUGUGACAACCAACGCCAGUCUUAUAGGGUAAUGACAAUAAAAAAGGAAAGGAGAAACCAAAUAAACAAAAAAAAAAACAACUAUCAUAUGAGCCCAUAUAAGCUGUGCUCAGUGGUGAGGCUGUCCGACACCACUGUCCGAGGGGAGGAAGAAAUGGCAGGGCCUUCACAGGAGACCCCAUUGAUUCUGGCAAUUCGCUCCAGGAGGAGUCUGGAAUGACACUCCACGCUCCACCUGGGACCAAGUGAUGAAAAUUUAUGUUUAAAUUGUGCACCCUGAUGUUUCGCUGACAUUUCUGAAUUUUGGAAUGAUUAGGACCUGACGUGACAUUAAGCAAGGCAAACAGACAAACUGACUACUGAACAAAGGAAGACAGAGGACUUAAACAUGGAAAGGUAACGGGGUAGUGGAAAGUGGAAACACCUGGAGAAACACAACUGUCACCAAUUAACCUGACGCCACAGGGGAAGCAAAACUAAACACACUAAACAUGGAAACACAAGACUUUCGAAAUAAAACAGAAAACAUGGAGAGAUGUAGACGUGACAACACAAGCUUGGCAAGAGGAUGUGGAACACCCAGACAUGAAAUACAUGACAGACUGGGGGAACGGAAAGGAACACAAGGAGAGGAACAUGGGAACAGAUAAGGGGGAUGAGGCUAAACUAAAAGUUAUACAUAGAGGACAAGGCAAACCUAAACAGGAAAAUGACACAUAAACCAGAGAGCAUGAAUGACAAUAUUAACUAGACUAAACCCCAACUAAUAAUAACACUAGAACUGAACAUUAUCCACAAUACAUCAGAAGAAGGUCAAAGGUCAUGACCUGGAUGUAAAAGGUCUCAUUAAUAAGCAACUGCAUGAACAGAAUCUCCACUUAGGGUAAUUUAUAAGUUUGGUCAAAGAUAACUCCAUGAGCAAAUUUCUUUGAAAAAGAAAACGUGUCACAUCUUCAGUAACUUUUCAUUUAUAAAUUGCCUCAUAAUAAUUCACACCAGGUUCUCUGUGACCUCAUGGUCCGCUUUAAAAUGCACUCUUAAAGUAAUAUGUGUGUUUAUAUCAUAUAUGAUACAUCUUGAAAAUCUGUUUUCUUAUAAUGCAUGUGUUUUGUUGUUAUAGUUGCACAUCAGCCAGAAUACUGCAUGCUUUUGCAUCAACCCAUACACUGCUUCCUAUUGGAUAGUCAUGGGAAGUGGAGUUUAUUCCACUAUCCAUAUUGUUUUUAAACUACUUUCCUCACAGUUGUAUACAGAGGUAACACAUGCUUUUACUCUGCAUUUUAUUCCUGCAGCAAAAAAAAAAAGCAUCAAUCCCAGCAGAAUGAAGAGUGGUCAUAUAUUAAGAAGCCACCAAAUGCUUUCAUGCUGUACCUGACAGAGCAGAGGUCAAAGGUCAUGGCUGAGCUGAACAUCACUAGAAGUGCAGCGGUAAAUGCAGUUGUGGGAACGAGUUGGAAGUUACUGUCAAAUGAACAGAAGGCCACAUAUUUCAGUCAGGCAGAAACAGAAAGAUGCCGUCACACCAAAAAGAAUCCUGAUUGGUCCACCAAAGACACUACGGCAAAAAGAGAAAGAGAAUCUGACAUUGCACCUCUAGCACAAGUGAGAGAAGAUUUCAAAGAUUUGUUGAAACAAAAAAGACUGAACAGGAAGUUCAACAAGCCAAGAAGCUUUGUGUGAGGCCAGAUCAGAUACAGCCAUCUUCUUCUCAUUCAUCUGUGACAGAGCCAUGCCAGCAGCCACAGACACAGCCAGGUGUUACCAACCUGCCUCACCAGCAGUCAGCGUGUGUGCAGCUGACAAACACACUCAUCAACAUACCUGUGUGCAAAGUAAAUCCCCUCUUUCUCUCAUCAACACCUCCCUGCAUCCACAUCCUCCUCUGCUGCACCCCUUCAGCUCCAGACUGAGACCACCUUUGUGAGAAAAACUGGUGAAGACUUGCUUUCAGUGCUAGAACAGCUUGACCCCCUCCCCGUCAUUGCCCUGUCUCAGCAGCCCUCCUCUCCUCAUGCAACCUCUGCUGGCUGACGCUUGACUGUCAGUGCCAGUACCAAAUAAAGCCACCCCUUCUGGCCUUAAUGAAUUCAGACCAUUAUUGACCAUCAAGGUGCUGAAGAGACUGGUUCAGCUUGCAGGUGAAACAUGUUCUCAACCCUCUUCAGUUUGCUUUCCAGCCUCUUGUGGGGGUGGAUAAUACUGCUGUCUACCUGUUGCAGCAUGGUCACUCUCACCAGGAUGGUACUGGUGACAUGCAAGUAUCAUGUUUCUUUUUAUAUUCCUGUGCCUUCAUCCAACUACUUCUGCUGAGUGAGAAGCUGCUCAAGAUGGGUGUCACCUCUUAUGUCCUGUUUACCUUCUACACCUCGGAUUUGUAGUACAACAGUGAAACAUGCCACAUGCAGAAGGUCUCUGAUGACACAGCAGUGGUUUGGUGCAUUUAGGGUGGGCAGGAGUCAGAGUACAGGGAGCUGGUGGGCAGGCAGCAAUCACCUCCAUCUGAAUCUCAGCAAGACAAAAAAGAUGGCGGUUGACUUCCAGAGAAUAAAAACUUCACUUGCUGGGCCCACGUCCCCAUUUUAGGUUUAACAGCAUUUUAGUAGGUAAAAGUAAAUGCUUUGACAUGAAUUGAGCUGUGGAUUGGGGAAGGCCUCGAAGGGGAUUGGCGACGGCUCCCGGGCCUGGCAG